UCCUGGUUAGCUCAGUUGGUAGUGCACUCCAUGGGAAAUGGAGAGAGAUCCCUUGUUCGAUACCAGAACCAGGCG
rnacentral:tRNA from 1 species